UUCGCAAUGCCCGAAAGGGUGACGAAGCGACGCCGCGUGGGUGAAGAAGGCCUUCGGGUUGUAAAACCCUGUCAGGAGUUAUGAAAUGUAAGUGCGCUAAUAUCGUGCUUAUUUGACAAAGGCUCCAAAGGAAGCCACGGCUAACUCUGUGCCAGCAGCCGCGGUAAUACAGAGGUGGCGAGCGUUGUUCGGAAUUAUUGGGCGUAAAGAGCACGUAGGUGGGUUUGCAAGUCAGAUGUGAAAGCCUUCUGUUCAACGGGAGAAUUGCAUCUGAAACUGCUAAUCUUGAGUAUAGGAGGGGAGAAUGGAACUUCUGGUGGAGCGGUGAAAUGCGUAGAUAUCAGAAGGAAAGCCGGCGGCGAAAGCGAUUCUCUGGCCUAUUACUGACACUCAGUGUGCGAAAGCUAGGGGAGCAAACGGGAUUAGAUACCCCGGUAGUCCUAGCCGUAAACGAUGGGCACUAAGUAGA
rnacentral:rRNA from 1 species